UCCCCUUCCCCCAAUUCCGAGAAAUUAUACUUUUGCAUAUACAGAAAUACUAGUACUAUACUGCAAGGGUGCACCGGUUGCCUUCAGCUUUUAUUUUUUCCAAUUGCUCUUCCUUGAACUUGAUUUUGCUUUGUGGGUUUUCUUGUUUUUUUGCUCUUUAUUCUUGUUUGGAUGUUUUAUAUUUUGGUAGGUUUAUGAAUUGUUAUAGUGAUGUAGUAGUUCUUUGUGUGUUGAAACGGGGAGUUGUUUCUUGAUUUUCUUAAAGAAUGGAUUUUUAUGACUAAUCAUUGAUGCAUAGCUUCAUUGGUUGAUUUGUACUAUCUACUAUGUUCUAAUUAUGUGCCUUUGGUAGUAUUUGAUUUGUCUACCUGGGGCAACAGUGAUACUUGAAUCUUCAUUAAGAUGAUUGAUAUGUAUAUAUGUCUACAUAAACUUUUCAUGUAACCCCAGAUUCUGUAGCAUUGACAUGUUUGAACUUCAAUUUUGCAGAUGUCAAUGAACAUUCUGGUCAGAUACCACUUGGAUGCUUCAAUUCCAUGUUUAAUUUCAGCGGCUCUUGGCAACUUGAUGCAGCAACUGCGAAGUCACUUGCAUGUACCAUCCCAUCUCGUUAUUCAGUAUCAAACUAGUGAAAGACGAGUUAAGUUUGCGUAAUGAAAUAAAAUGUGCCGUUCCAUAUUCUUGGGAUCCUGCAUCCUUGGCAAGUUUUAUAGAAAAUUACGGAACCCACAUUGUGACCUCAGUAACAAUUGGUGGAAGGGAUGUUGUCUAUGUUAGACAGCACCAAUUAUCACCCUUAUCCUUGUCAGAUAUUGGAGAUCAGAGGUUCUCAGUACAAAUGCUGGCACUCUAAAAUACAAGGACAAGGAUGUAAUGGUUAUUUUCAAAAGGAGAGGGGGAGAUGACCUUGAACAGGGCAAGGACUGUAGAAGGGGCCCCUGAUGUGAUCAACAUGACAUUUAUGCCUAUCGUCUCUUUGCUUGAAGGAGUGUCUAGGAUAAAACAUUUGGCUCUUGCUAUUGAGUUAUACUUGGAGUGUAAGGAUUCGAACUUUUGUUAUUAUGCCAUUAGUCCUGUUUUAUAUUCUUCUAAAUCCUCUGUAUUCCAUAGAAAUAUGAUUUAAGGUUGAAGAACCACUUUUUGUUACUUUGAAGUUUGCUAUCUGGAAACUCGAAAGGUUAUGAAUAUUGCUCGCACCCAUUCAUUAGGGUUUUCAGAGAACAAGAAAAAUGAUCCAAUAUUCGUAUACAGAAGUCACUAUAACGUACAUGGUUGAAGCAAGAUUGUAUUGAUGCUCGAGCGCAAAAUGGAGAUUCCGGUUGUAACGGCCG